rnacentral:rRNA from 1 species
GUUGUAUAGUUAAGUGACUAAGCGUACAAGGUGGAUGCCUUGGCAAUCAGAGGCGAUGAAGGACGUGCUAAUCUGCGAAAAGCUUGGAUGAGUCGAUAAGAGGCGUUUAAUCCAAGAUGUCCGAAUGGGGAAACCCAGUAGAUGAAGAAUCUACUAUCACUUACUGAAUACAUAGGUAAGUGAGGCAAACCGGGAGAAC